GGGCCCGCACAAGCAGUGGAGCAUGUGGUUUAAUUCGAUGCAACGCGAAGAACCUUACCAGGCCUUGACAUCCUCGGAACUUUCUAGAGAUAGAUUGGUGCCUUCGGGAACCGGGUGACAGGUGCUGCAUGGCUGUCGUCAGCUCGUGUCGUGAGAUGCGUGGGUUAACGUCCCGUAACGAGCGCAACCCUUGUCCUUAGUUGCCAGCACAUAAUGGUGGGAACUCUAAGGAGACUGCCGGUGACAAACCGGAGGAAGGUGGGGACGACGUCAAGUCAUCAUGGCCCUUACGGCCUGGGCUACACACGUGCUACAAUGGCUAGGACAGACGGCUGCAAACCAGCGAGUGGGGAGCUAAUCCGACAAACCUAGUCGUAGUCCGGAUUGGAGUCUGCAACUCGACUCCAUGAAGUCGGAAUUGCUAGUAAUCG
rnacentral:rRNA from 1 species